rnacentral:rRNA from 1 species
UACGUAGGGGGCAAGCGUUGUCCGGAUUUAUUGGGCGUAAAGAGCGUGUAGGCGGCCUGAAAGGUCAGCUGUGAAAACUCGAGGCUCAACCUCGAGACGUCGGUUGAAACCAUCUGGCUAGAGUCCGGAAGAGGAGAGUGGAAUUCCCGGUGUAGCGGUGAAAUGCGCAGAUAUCGGGAAGAACACCCGUGGCGAAGGCGGUUCUCUGGGCCUUACCUGACGCUGAGGAGCGAAAGCGUGGGGAGCGAACAGG